GUCUCAGUGGCCUAGUGGGUUAAAAGUCAGUUUGCCACUCCGAUGGCCCGGGUUCUAGACCCGACCGUGACA
rnacentral:tRNA from 1 species